GUGCCAGCCGCCGCGGUAAUACGAAGGGGGCUAGCGUUGUUCGGAAUCACUGGGCGUAAAGGGCGCGUAGGCGGCUUUGUAAGUCGGGGGUGAAAGCCUGUGGCUCAACCACAGAAUUGCCUUCGAUACUGCAUGGCUUGAGACCGGAAGAGGUUAGUGGAACUGCGAGUGUAGAGGUGAAAUUCGUAGAUAUUCGCAAGAACACCAGUGGCGAAGGCGGCUGACUGGUCCGGAUCUGACGCUGAGGCGCGAAAGCGUGGGGAGCAAACAGGAUUAGAUACCCUCGUAGUCC
rnacentral:rRNA from 1 species